UAAGCAGACCAGAUGGCCGCGCCUGCUCGUGCAGGUGAGGAAAGUCCGGGCUUCACAGGGCAGGAUGCCGGAUAACGUCCGGUGGAGGUGACUCCAAGGCCAGUGCAACAGAAACAAACCGCCAGCCGGAUUCCGGCUGGUAAGGGUGGAAAGGCAGUGUAAGAGACUACCGUCCGUCUGGCAACAGGCGGGGCUAUGUAAACCCCAUCCGAAGCAAGACCAAGCAGAGAACGAUAAACCGGCCCGGUUUGUUCUCAGGUGGGUCGCUGGAGACUGUUGGCGACAGCAGUCCAAGAUAGAUGGCCAUCGCCCUGCAUCGCAGGGAACAGAACCCGGCUUACCGGUCUGCUUAUAAG
rnacentral:RNase_P_RNA from 1 species